GGGGUUGUGGCUCAAUGGUAGAGCACUUGCCUAGCAUUAUGUGAGACACUGGGUUCAAUUCUCAGCACUUCA
rnacentral:tRNA from 1 species